rnacentral:piRNA from 1 species
UGUGCUUGUUACUACUGUUAAAUGUUA